AGUUGCAAACAGGUCAAGCUGUGCACUCUAGACAGACUGCCGUGGACAACACGGAGGAAGGGUGGGGAUGACGUCAAAUCAUCAUCGCCCCUUAUGAUCGUGGGCUACACACGUGCUACAAUGGCCGGUACGAACGGGCAGCGAAGGAGCGAUCCGGAGCGAAUACCUAAAAAGCCGGUCCCAGUUCGGAUUGCAGGCUGAAACUCGCCUACAUGAAGUUGGAGUUGCUAGUAAUCGCGAAUCAGAAUGUCGCGGUGAAUGCGUUCCCGGGUCUU
rnacentral:rRNA from 1 species